rnacentral:snRNA from 1 species
CUUCUCUUUUGGCAGCACAUAUACUAAUAUUGUAAUGAUACAGAGAAGAUUAACAUGACCCUGUGCACACAGUCUUUUAAUGAAUGGUAAACUUCUUUU